GAGGGGUGGGGGGUGUCCCUCAGCCCAGAUUGCGAGAGGGCUCAGGCCAGGCCAAGGGAUACCACUGGUGCACA
rnacentral:pre_miRNA from 1 species